AACCAUUACGGUGAAACAAAUUGAUAC
rnacentral:sRNA from 1 species